UCGCUGCCACCACAAGGCUCACAAGGGGUGCCUUGGCAACAGGGGCUGAGAUGGCCUCCAAAGUCCAGCUAGACUCCAUCCAUCCCCUUAACCUAGAAAGGCCUGGAUUCACUCACUCUUAAGGGGCCAGAAAACACAGCAGCAAAUCUUGGCUCAAGAUUUAGAAGCAGCCCAACCUCAUCUACGGAGGACUCCUCAAUCAGGCGGGGGGCCUCUGCAGAAAGGAUGCCGUGGGUGGCCAUGACAUAGAUCUUAUAGGCGCCUCUUUCUUUGAGGAUCUCUGCAGCAGCAACAAAACUCUCCACAUCAUCAAUAAUGUCAUCCUGGGAGGAGAACAGAGUGACUUGGUAGGAAAGAAACACCCUCUAGCCCAGACUGUAAAAGCAUACACCUCUCUACUCUUUUCUGCACUGUUUCAGAGGAUUUCUGAAGGCAAAUCAGAGCUGUGGGCCUGGGUCAAAGACUGAGCAUCAGAAAUGGCAAUAGAAGUACCUGACGGCACCUUGUGUGUCUCAGAGAGGGAGCAGUUGAGCACUUGUGAUGCUACCGCUGGAGCCGAGGACUGCCAACACUCAUUUUCCUGUUUCACAUUUCUGGUUAAUCCCACAUAGCCAGCGUUCCAACUAUUUUUUUCAAAUAAAUGCGACAGGAGAAGAAAACUGAAAUAAAGCAUGCUACUGCAAACGAUUCGUGGCCCACUAGCCAGCAGACGUUCAGAGCUGGGAUGAAAUGUGUGUCAACGUGCAGAACAAGUCUGCACAAGGUCACCCAUUCUUAGUCGUGAAAACGAAGCAGCUCAUCUUCAGUUCAUCCUUUAGCCCGAAGCAUGACGUGAGCUGCUGUGAAAAACCUAGAACCCACACGAUGUAGGUUAAGGUGCUGAAUUUUUUCUUGGGAGGUGCUGUGCUCAAUUCCUGUCUGCAAGUUACAUUUUAAUGUGUGUUCAUCUGAAUAAAGGUUUCUGCCACUUGGCACAAGAGAGUUUGGGUGAGAAAGGACACAUGGAUCCAUUUACAUCAUUGCUCCUAGAAAUACAGUCCCCAAGCAGACAACCUACUGACCAAGAGCCAGCAGUGUCACCUCUACACAUGAGGGAUGACACAUAACCAUACCACGAUGAUUGCGAUGCGGCCUCCAACAUCUCCAACCACAGUUAUUGGCGGCUUCUCUUUGGCCAUCAUCACUAGCAAAACAAAACAAAUGACAAGAUCUCAGUCAUUCAUGUAUUACUAGAGAAAUGUAAUCACAACCUAAUUUUCUGGAAAUGGUGGCAAAACCACUAUACAGACAAAAAACAAACCAUGCAGAUUCCCCCUCAAUGAACCUGAAUCUCUCAGAAACAGCAGCAGUGGCCAAAAGAAAUGGAAGGCAUGCCAUACAUGUCACUUUAAAUUUUCCAGUAGCCAUAUUAAAAAGUAAAAACAGACGAAA